rnacentral:rRNA from 1 species
GAUGAACGCUAGCGGCAGGCUUAAUACAUGCAAGUCGAGGGGUAGCAAGAUUGUAGCAAUACAAUUGUUGACGACCGGCAAACGGGUGCGGAACACGUACACAACCUUCCUACAAGUGGGGAAUAGCCCAGAGAAAUUUGGAUUAAUACCCCGUAACAUAGCGAUGUGGCAUCACAUUGCUAUUAUAGUUUCGACGCUUAAUGAUGGGUGUGCGUAUGAUUAGAUAGUUGGCGAGGUAACGGCUCACCAAGUCUACGAUCAUUAGCUGAUGUGAGAGCAUGAUCAGCCACACGGGCACUGAGACACGGGCCCAGACUCCUACGGGAGGCAGCAGUGGGGAAUUUUGGACAAUGGACGCAAGUCUGAUCCAGCCAUGCCGCGUGCGGGAAGAAGGCCUUCGGGUUGUAAACCGCUUUUGUCAGGGAAGAAAUCUUCUGGGUUAAUACCUCGGGAGGAUGACGGUACCUGAAGAAUAAGCACCGGCUAACUACGUGCCAGCCGCCGCGGUAACAC